rnacentral:rRNA from 1 species
UACGUAGGGGGCUAGCGUUGUCCGGAAUCAUUGGGCGUAAAGAGCGCGUAGGCGGCCAGAUAAGUCCGGUGUGAAAGUCAGAGGCUCAACCUUUGAAUGCCGCUGGAAACUGUCUGGCUAGAGUCCGGGAGGGGCGAGUGGAAUUCCUGGUGUAGCGGUGAAAUGCGCAGAUAUCAGGAGGAACACCAAUGGCGAAGGCAGCUCGCUGGAACGGUACUGACGCUGAGGCGCGAAAGCGUGGGGAGCAAACAGG